UCCUCUGGUGAAGACAGACGUCUGCCUCAAU
rnacentral:piRNA from 1 species